rnacentral:rRNA from 1 species
UUGCCAGCGGUUCGGCCGGGAACUCAAAGGAGACUGCCAGUGAUAAACUGGAGGAAGGUGGGGAUGACGUCAAGUCAUCAUGGCCCUUACGAGUAGGGCUACACACGUGCUACAAUGGCGUAUACAAAGAGAAGCGACCUCGCGAGAGCAAGCGGACCUCAUAAAGUACGUCGUAGUCCGGAUUGGAGUCUGCAACUCGACUCCAUGAAGUCGGAAUCGCUAGUAAUCGUAGAUCAGAAUGCUACGGUGAAUACGUUCCCGGGCCUUGUACACACCGCCCGUCACACCAUGGGAGUGGGUUGCAAAAGAAGUAGGUAGCUUAACCUUCGGGAGGGCGCUUACCACUUUGUGAUUCAUGACUGGGGUGAAGUCGUAACAAGGUAACCGUA